UGUCUCAGUUGGUAAAGAAUCUGCCUGCAAUGCAGGAGACCUGGGUUUGAUUCCUAG
rnacentral:tRNA from 1 species